rnacentral:rRNA from 1 species
CCCUGAAAGAUGAUCAGGUAGAUAGGAUGGAAGUGGAAGUGCUGUGAGGCAUGGAGCGGACCAUUACUAAUCGAUCGAGGACUUAACCAAG